CGGAUGAGUUGCGAACGGGUGAGUAACGCGUAGGUAACCUGCCUCUUAGCGGGGGAUAACUAUUGGAAACGAUAGCUAAUACCGCAUAAAAGUCGACAUUGCAUGAUGUUGACUUGAAAGGUGCAAUUGCAUCACUAAGAGAUGGACCUGCGUUGUAUUAGCUAGUUGGUGAGGUAACGGCUCACCAAGGCGACGAUACAUAGCCGACCUGAGAGGGUGAUCGGCCACACUGGGACUGAGACACGGCCCAGACUCCUACGGGAGGCAGCAGUAGGGAAUCUUCGGCAAUGGGGGCAACCCUGACCGAGCAACGCCGCGUGAGUGAAGAAGGUUUUCGGAUCGUAAAGCUCUGUUGUAAGAGAAGAACGAGUGUGAGAGUGGAAAGUUCACACUGUGACGGUAACUUACCAGAAAGGGACGGCUAACUACGUGCCAGCAGCCGCGGUAAUACGUAGGUCCCGAGCGUUAUCCGGAUUUAUUGGGCGUAAAGCGAGCGCAGGCGGUUAGAUAAGUCUGAAGUUAAAGGCUGUGGCUUAACCAUAGUACGCUUUGGAAACUGUUUAACUUGAGUGCAGAAGGGGAGAGUGGAAUUCCAUGUGUAGCGGUGAAAUGCGUAGAUAUAUGGAGGAACACCGGUGGCGAAAGCGG
rnacentral:rRNA from 1 species